AACACGUGAGUAACCUGCCCUUGACUCUGGGAUAAGUUUGGGAAACUGGGUCUAAUACCGGAUAUGACCGUCUGACGCAUGUCAUGGUGGUGGAAAGCUUUUGUGGUUUUGGAUGGACUCGCGGCCUAUCAGUUUGUUGGUGGGGUAAUGGCCUACCAAGGCGACGACGGGUAGCCGGCCUGAGAGGGUGACCGGCCACACUGGGACUGAGACACGGCCCAGACUCCUACGGGAGGCAGCAGUGGGGAAUAUUGCACAAUGGGCGGAAGCCUGAUGCAGCGACGCCGCGUGAGGGAUGACGGCCUUCGGGUUGUAAACCUCUUUCAGUAGGGAAGAAGCGAAAGUGACGGUACCUGCAGAAGAAGCGCCGGCUAACUACGUGCCAGCAGCCGCGGUAAUACGUAGGGCGCAAGCGUUAUCCGGAAUUAUUGGGCGUAAAGAGCUCGUAGGCGGUUUGUCGCGUCUGCUGUGAAAGACCGGGGCUCAACUCCGGUUCUGCAGUGGGUACGGGCAGACUAGAGUGCAGUAGGGGAGACUGGAAUUCCUGGUGUAGCGGUGAAAUGCGCAGAUAUCAGGAGGAACACCGAUGGCGAAGGCAGGUCUCUGGGCUGUAACUGACGCUGAGGAGCGAAAGCAUGGGGAGCGAACAGGAUUAGAUACCCUGGUAGUCCAUGCCGUAAACGUUGGGCACUAGGUGUGGG
rnacentral:rRNA from 1 species